AGCUUUGCGCAGUAGCAGUAUCGUAGGUUAUGAGGUUUACCCGAGGCACAAUUAUUGUUAGUUGAAAACUUUACCCAAUACCCUGCCUUAGUUAAGUAUACUCGGCUGUGGCACUUUUUGAUUGGCAAUUAUUUGU